UACGAAAGGAGCGAGCGUUUUCCAUCUUGAUUCGGCGUAAAGAGUUUGUAGGUUACUUUUGUUGUAUUGGGUAGAAAUAUUAGAAGUGUAUUUUAAAUAACUGCUAAUUGCAACAUUGAUUGGUUGAGUUUGUUAGAGGAUAUCAGAAUUCUGUGGGUGGUCAAGGAGUAAAAUCUCAGCUGCAGAGGAAUGCCUGUGGCGAAAGCGGAUAUCUGGCACAAUACUGACACUCAUAAACGAAGGCGUGGGGAGCAAACGGG
rnacentral:rRNA from 1 species